rnacentral:rRNA from 1 species
AUUCGAGCUCUACUCACGCGCACGCAACAGAUUCUCAUUCAGUAUGGUUAUACACAGUAAAACUGCGAAUGGCUCAUUAAAACAGUUAUAGUUUAUUUGAUACAUUAAAUGGAUAACUGUAGAAAAACUAGAGCUAAUACAUGCCAAAGCCUCACGGUUGUAUUUAUUAGAUAUUCCAAUUAGGUGAAUCAUAAUAACUUCGCAAAUCUCGGUUUUUGCCGAGAUAAAUCAUCCAAGUUUCUGCCCUAUCAUGCUUUCGAUGGUAGUGUAUUGGACUACCAUGGCCACCCCAGGGCAACAGGGAAUUAGGGUUCGACUCUGGAGAAGGAGCCUGAGAAACGGCUACUACAUCUACGGAAGGCAGCAGGCGCGUAAAUUACCCAAUCCUGACUCAGGGAGGUGGUGACAAGAUAUAACAACGCAAUUUCAUUGUGAUUGUAGUGAGGGUAUUCCAACCGAACCACUAGUACGAUUAGAGGGCAAGUCUGGUGCAGCAGCCGCGGUAUUCAGCUCUAUAGCGUAUAUAAAGUGCUGCAGUAAAGCUCGUAGUGGAUUCAGAUACCAUCUAUGGAGGGACCUACUAGCGUAUGCUGUCUGAAAUAGUGUAAGGGUAUGCAAAUCUACUGAAACGAGUUCAACUGUAUCAGUCUAUAAACAGUGGGCUUUUAUCAGGAUGUAACUGGAUCGGUCAAGGCACCGCUCUACAGGACCUAACUGAUACCGCCCCGACACCACCCAAUACUGAACGAGCCCGUCGAAACCAUACUAUGGCCUAAAAAGUACU